UGCGGAGGGAUCAUUA
rnacentral:rRNA from 139 species